UACGUAGGGUGCAAGCGUUGUCCGGAAUUAUUGGGCGUAAAGAGCUCGUAGGCGGUCUGUCGCGUCUGCUGUGAAAACUCGGGGCUUAACCCCGAGCCUGCAGUGGAUACGGGCAGACUAGAGGUAGGUAGGGGAGAAUGGAAUUCCCGGUGUAGCGGUGAAAUGCGCAGAUAUCGGGAGGAACACCGGUGGCGAAGGCGGUUCUCUGGGCCGAUACUGACGCUGAGGAGCGAAAGCGUGGGGAGCGAACAGG
rnacentral:rRNA from 1 species